GGAUCAUAAAUGUCAAACUCGAUUCUCUUUUCAGUUUAAACUUCCUGUUGUCAUCUGUGGAAGCGUUCUACAGUUUCAUAUUUUCAUGCUAAAUGAGCUAAAAAAGCAGCAGAAAAUAAUAAGAAAUGCUUUAUUAUUUAGGAUGUGUUUCUGGAUCAUCUUUGAUUUCAUUCUGAUUGACUGGUUGUUGAUUUUUUUCGGUUGUUCAGGACUGGAACAGCUUCCUCCUCACCCCCCCAGGGACGGCAGGUGUUGGGCUGAUAAACAGAAACGAGGCGUCCCGCCUCCCUCCUCCAGCUCUGCCUCUCUGUGUUUAUGUCACUUUACUUCUUCAUCACCGGUUCAAACCGGAGCGCCGCCGCCGCCGCGCCGCCGCCGCCGCCGCGUGUGGGAUGCUGCAGCUGUGAGGCAGCAGGUGACAGAUGAGGCUGAUUCUCCAUCAGCUGAUGGGAAGUUUAUUCAGGAGAACACGGACUGGAUCAUCGGACUCUGCUCUGUUCAUGCAAAUCACACGUGUCGAGGCCCGGGGGCCGGAUCCGGCCCUCUUUAUUGUUAUUAAUGACCCGAUGUUAUCUUGUGCUCAUUAUUAACUUGUAUAAUUUUGACAAAAUAUUUUUUUAUGGAGGGUAAAAUGUUCAAAGUUAAUUAAGAUUUAAAUUGAUUUAUUC
rnacentral:lncRNA from 1 species